rnacentral:lncRNA from 1 species
UGAUCGGAGAAGAUUUUUCUAUGCCAAAACCACCACUAAAAUCCUUCUUUUUUGAAAUCAACAUCAUAAGUAAAUUAUCUUUCUCCUUCACCACUAAAAGUUCUCUCAAUAUUCGAAGAGGAUUCUCAUACAUCAAAAUUAUGCUCAACAACUAUGUUAUUUCUUUUUAUAGCCAUAACAUCUUUCAAAUCCAUUCUGAUCUUAUCAUCCUUCGGCACAAAUUUAGUGAAAAAGUUCAUCUCCAUUUC